UACUGCAGUCUCAUGAGCUACCUGCAUGGCACCCAGAAUGCUGGGUCCACUCUGAGCUUGGCAGGGAUGCUGACAUAUUGUGGGCUGUAAUUGGAAGGAAUGGCUUGUGUCUGGUGAGUUCUCUUUCCGUCCUCUGUACAGCCUGCAGAUGGUCCUACGGUCCAUUGCUGAGGCAGAGAGCCUGCUGGGCACGGUGUCUGUUUAUUCCAGGUCUGGCAUAUGGCCCUGUUUCAGGGUGUGAGAGGAAGGCCUCUCUGCCUUUCAAAUCCAUUUCCCAUUUUUUUAUGUCCCUAUUCAUGCAUUUCAGGACUUCAUUAAAAAGGAACCACUGGAUUCCCUGGUAUCUCCAGUUCGCUACAAGGCAAUUUUGGCCAUUGGACAUCUGAGCAAACUCAAACCAUCUCUGACCAUGGAGGAAAACCGUGAGCUCCUUUAUCAGUGCUUCAGAAGUUUAUUUCCCCUUCCUCUCUUGGAGAUGAUGAAAGAGGAAGGCGAGACAGCAAAGGAUGCUCUGCAUAUACAAUCACUCUACGUGAGGUCCUUGGAAGCCCUUGGCAAGCUAAUGGAGACUUUGCUGG